CUAGCUUGCUAGUUGCUGACGAGUGGCGGACGGGUGAGUAACGCGUAGGAAUCUACCGAGUAGUGGGGGACAACAGUUGGAAGCGACUGCUAAUACCGCAUAAUCCCUGAGGGGGAAAGGAGGGGAUCUGUUUACAGACCUUUCGCUAUUUGAUGAGCCUGUGUGAGAUUAGCUAGUUGGUGAGGUAAUGGCUCACCAAGGCGACGAUCUCUAGCUGGUCUGAGAGGAUGAUCAGCCACACUGGAACUGAGACACGGUCCAGACUCCUACGGGAGGCAGCAGUGGGGAAUAUUGCACAAUGGGGGAAACCCUGAUGCAGCCAUGCCGCGUGUGUGAAGAAGGCCUUCGGGUUGUAAAGCACUUUCAGCGAGGAGGAAAGGAGUAUGUUUA
rnacentral:rRNA from 1 species